UGUAAGUUUUCUCCCCAACAAACACAAUAAUGUCGACAAAACAUUUUGCACCGUCAAAGGCACCUGUGGUAGCACCCACAGGGCAGAGGAAGAUGUGAACCAUCGCACAAAAAGUUGGACUUCUGGGCAUGCUAAAGAUGGCCCUUAGUGAGAGUCCUGACCAGCCCCUGGCAGGACCUUGGCCUGUACCUGACCCUGCACCUGCUGUUUCUGGCUGGAGGACAAGUGGAAAGUUACCCAGCAGCAGGGGCAGUUAACGGCCACCAUAGAGAGAGGAUCCACCAGGGCUGUUGUCCUUCUCUCCAUGUCUGUGUGGCUUUGCUGUUUGUGCGUAAAACUCUACUUUGCUUGCUUUGCUAUAUGUUGUCUUGCUGUUCUGUGUAUGUGUUGUCUUGCUGUUCAGAUGAUUCAGUGUAUUAAACUCUGUCUCAACAAUUCUAAUCUUUUCAGGGGAUCUUUUUUCUUAGUGAACUGAUGUUAAUCAGAUCUAAAUAAGCUGGAUCUCCACAUCACCGGUUGGAUAAGGUUAUCAUGCUGGCUUCAAAAUUUGCGAGUCCACACACAUCAGUUGAUUUUGUACCUUGUGGUUCAAAUGUGUCAAAUAUCAACACUGAAUGUACCUGCAGAUGUUUUUGAUCACAUCGUACUCAUUGAAAGUUCUUACAAACAUUAGAGCUAAUCACUUAGAACUGCCAGGAGUCAUUUUGAGCCAUCACUCCUUUGUCUCCCUACACUCAAUACUCCAAGCCCAUCAUGUCUGAUGUUUCCCUGAUGUCCCCUUAAUGUCACGAUGUAGCUCCAGUACUUAGUAAGGAUAAUGAUGACUUACAAUUUUGCUUUUGUAAAAUAAAGUUCUUAAAUUCA